UACGUAGGGUGCGAGCGUUGUCCGGAAUUAUUGGGCGUAAAGAGCUUGUAGGCGGUUUGUCGCGUCUGCUGUGAAAAUCCGGGGCUCAACCCCGGACUUGCAGUGGGUACGGGCAGACUAGAGUGUGGUAGGGGAGACUGGAAUUCCGUGGUGUAGCGGUGGAAUGCGCAGAUAUCAGGAGGAACACCGGUGGCGAAGGCGGGUCUCGUGGGCCGAUACUGACGCUGAGGAGCGAAAGCGUGGGGAGCAAACAGG
rnacentral:rRNA from 1 species